rnacentral:rRNA from 1 species
GUCGAGCGAAUGGAUUAAGAGCUUGCUCUUAUGAAGUUAGCGGCGGACGGGUGAGUAACACGUGGGUAACCUGCCCAUAAGACUGGGAUAACUCCGGGAAACCGGGGCUAAUACCGGAUAACAUUUUGAACUGCAUGGUUCGAAAUUGAAAGGCGGCUUCGGCUGUCACUUAUGGAUGGACCCGCGUCGCAUUAGCUAGUUGGUGAGGUAACGGCUCACCAAGGCAACGAUGCGUAGCCGACCUGAGAGGGUGAUCGGCCACACUGGGACUGAGACACGGCCCAGACUCCUACGGGAGGCAGCAGUAGGGAAUCUUCCGCAAUGGACGAAAGUCUGACGGAGCAACGCCGCGUGAGUGAUGAAGGCUUUCGGGUCGUAAAACUCUGUUGUUAGGGAAGAACAAGUGCUAGUUGAAUAAGCUGGCACCUUGACGGUACCUAACCAGAAAGCCACGGCUAACUACGUGCCAGCAGCCGCGGUAAUACGUAGGUGGCAAGCGUUAUCCGGAAUUAUUGGGCGUAAAGCGCGCGCAGGUGGUUUCUUAAGUCUGAUGUGAAAGCCCACGGCUCAACCGUGGAGGGUCAUUGGAAACUGGGAGACUUGAGUGCAGAAGAGGAAAGUGGAAUUCCAUGUGUAGCGGUGAAAUGCGUAGAGAUAUGGAGGAACACCAGUGGCGAAGGCGACUUUCUGGUCUGUAACUGACACUGAGGCGCGCAAGCGUGGGGAGCAAACAGGAUUAUAUACCCUGGUAGUCCACGCCGUAAACGAUGAG